GAUGAAGAACGCAGCGAAAUGCGAUAAGUAAUGUGAAUUGCAGAAUUCAGUGAAUCAUCGAAUCUUUGAACGCACAUUGCGCCCCUUGGUAUUCCGAGGGGCAUGCCUGUUCGAGCGUCAUUAUAACCCCUCAAGCUCAGCUUGGUGUUGGGGCCUGCUGCACUGGCAGCCCUUAAAAUCAGUGGCGGCGCCAUCUGGCUCUAAGCGUAGUAAUUCUUCUCGCUAUGGAGUCCUGGUGGAUGCUUGCCAUCAACCCCCAAUUUUUCUAUGGUUGACCUCGGAUCAGGUAGGGAUACCCGCUGAACUUAAGCAUAUCAUAAGCGGAGA
rnacentral:misc_RNA from 1 species